UCCGAGGAAGCUUUGUUUUCUCCUUCUUAACAAUAAAUGUUGCUGCUGCUCACUUUUUGGGCAGUUAUUUCAGAGGUGUAACACUCUCCUUGAAAGUCUGAGGCUUCAUUCUUGAAGUCAGCGAGACCCUGAACCAACAGGCAGGAAUAAACUCUGGACACAACGGGUUUCUGCGAAAGAGAAAAGACGUUAUUCAUAAGGCUGCUGUGCGAGGAGGUGGGAGGACGAGUCUCAACUCUGCCUCCCUAAAACGGUCUUAAGGAUACUUACGGGAUGGAAAGUAAGGUGUGCGGAAAGGCGAGUGGGAAGCUGCUUGCAGCUGGUCACAGAGGUCACCAAGAAAAUUUUGCACCUGGAGAUUUUGUAUCAGCAAGAAGUGGAUAGAAAAGGAGAGGGUCGCUGGGAGGAAGUUGCCAGGUUCUCAAGUUACCCAGAAGACACAGUGGCCAUUUACAAGGAGAGGCAUUGGAAGUCCACACAGGGGCCCAGAGAAGCAAAAGACAGGACUUUCCCAAUAUCACAUCAACUGACUUCAGUCUUUCUAUUCCUUGCUGCAAGAUACUUCUACUAGAGAACAGAAGAAGUCAAUAUCUAAAGAAUGUCCAAAAAUAAAAAUUCUUCUUUUAAAAUGAGGUCUCGGUACCUCUUCAGGGAAGCCGUCCCUUCACAGUUCACAGUUC